rnacentral:rRNA from 1 species
AGAACGAACGCUGGCGGCGCGUUUAAGCAUGCAAGUCGGAGCGGCAGCAGCAUGCGAGAGCGGCGGACGGGUGAGUAACACGUGGGUAAUCUCGCCCUCCGGUACGGGAAUAGCCUGUGGAAACACAGGAUAAUACCGGGAUGCGAUGGUCCCCGCACAAGCGGGGGUCAGGAAAGGAGCCAAGGCUCCGCCGGAGGAUGAGCCCGCGUCCCAUUAGCUUGAUGGUGAGGUAAAGGCCCACCAGUGGCGAUGAUGGGUAGCCGGCCUGAGAGGGUGAACGGCCACAUUGGAACUGAGACACGGUCCAGACUCCUACGGGAGGCAGCAGCUAAGAAUCUUCCACAAUGGACGAAAGUCUGAUGGAGCGACGCCGCGUGGGCGAAUGAAGGCCGUGAGGUUGUAAAGCCCUUUUCUUGAGGGGGAAUAACGCAGGCAGGGAAUGGCCUGCGGAUGACGUGAAUCAAGGAAUAAGCCCCGGCUAACUACGUGCCAGCCGCCGC